CUUCGUGGUCCAGUGGUAAGGACACUUGCCUCUCACCCUGGAGUUUUAGGUUCGAUCCAAUGACGGGAAGU
rnacentral:tRNA from 1 species